ACAUACUCAUGGUUUUGCAGAAAAAAAAAAAGAAUAAUCCUCUACGUUCCCCUUCCAUUAUUAGAAAUUUUGUUCCCUUCCCACUUCCAUUCUCAUAGACUCUCUUUUUUUUUUUUCGAUUUGGUCGGCGAGCACAUUCUCUACUGGAACAUCUUGGGUUUAAACUGCUCUCUUACGUCCUCUCAUCAUCUCUUAUUAUAUCUCUUGGGUCUGCUAUAGUGUACUAUUUGCUGACUCUCUAUCACGUGAUAUUGAACCCAAGGCACCCGAACGACUGUUGAAGCUGCACGCCGCUGCUAAUCUGCCAUCGGUCUCCUCUGCUCUGGUUCCAGAGGUAUUGAUUAUAUUCUUUUGGUUGUGGAUCGAAUUGGCAAGGAGCAUUGCAAAGUUAAUAAACUUGACUAUUAAUAGCAAGAGCAAUUUCAACUUGAAAAAUGAGUACAUUACAAAGAUCUCCAAAAAAACAACUUCGUCCAGGUACUUUAUGCAAUUUUGUGGCCAAAAAGCGAAAAGCAUCAUUGAAGACUCAAGCUGAUUGGGACGAUACGUUGCUUGGAAGCCCUGUUUUAAAGAAAAAGAGUGCUCUUCAUAGGUUUUCUACACCUGUUAGAGUUGUAAUUGACUCACCACCUGCUCUUAGUAAUAGAGCAGCAACUCGUCGUAUGGUCUAUAAUACAGAGCCAGAUCCAAAUGAUGAUGCGGAAGACAUGGAGAUGUCACUUGGAAGUUCAAAAACUAGAAGAUCUCUUCAUUAUGAAGUAGAUAAGGUAGUUGAUAGUGUUUGUGAAAAAGGGGUAAGGGAGGAACAUGAAGAGAUAGCUGAUGAGGAAAAAGUUGGUGCAGAAUUUGAAGAAGGGGUUGCUGCAGAAUUUGAAGAAGUGGUUGAGGUAGAACUUGAACAACCUCUUAGAAAAUCUGUUAGAUUACAAAAAACAACUGAUGAGGCAAAUCAAACUGAGAUUGAAGAAAUAUCACAAGAUGUAGAUGCGAAUGUAAUGAACUUAUCCAAGAAGACAAGGGGAAAAACUCUAUUGGAAAAUCUUACCAAGAGGAACAAUGACUUAAGGAUAAUAAAUUGGAAUGAAAAAGGACAACCAGUUGGUACUAACUCAGUGCAAUUUUCUUCUUUUGUGGGCGCUCUUGUGCGAGAGGUUGUUCCUUACACUAUUUCAGAUUGGAGGAAAGUUUCACCACUCAUGAGAGAUGUUCUUUGGGCAUCUAUUUAGGCACAAUAUGACUUACAUGAUGAUUGGCAAAAAAAGAUGUGCUUUGAAAUGAUGGUAGAACUAUGGAGAUUUGGGAAAUCUAGAAUUGUAAAGGAUAUUAUCAAUGCAAAAAAUGAGAGUGAACGACUAGCCUUAAAGCCGGAUUGCAUAAAAAGUGAUGUAGAAUGGAGAGCAUUUGUUUCCCAAAAAAUUAGUAAAGAACAUUUGGGCCAAAUACCAAGAGAGAAGAAAGAAAGUUGUUCCACACACCUUAAGUCGAAGAGGAUAUGCUCGAACAAUCGAUGAUAUGAAAAAAGAAAAUGAGGAUGUUAAAAUAUCUAUAAUCGAUGUUUUUCGGAGAGCCCAUACCAAGAAGAAUGGUGAACCUGUAAACCCAAC